UACGUAGGGUGCAAGCGUUGUCCGGAAUUAUUGGGCGUAAAGAGCUCGUAGGCGGUUUGUCGCGUCUGCUGUGAAAACUUAGGGCUUAACCCUGAGCCUGCAGUGGGUACGGGCAGACUAGAGUGUGGUAGGGGAGAUCGGAAUUCCUGGUGUAGCGGUGGAAUGCGCAGAUAUCAGGAGGAACACCGGUGGCGAAGGCGGAUCUCUGGGCCAUAACUGACGCUGAGGAGCGAAAGCAUGGGGAGCGAACAGG
rnacentral:rRNA from 1 species